AAACUUAUUGACUGGCAUCAGCACAUCAUUCAACUUCCAUGUAGAAAGAUAGAGAACUGAGUCUGAAACAUUGCCCAGUGCCAGUAGGCUACUCAUACUCCUAUGUCUGCUAUAUAGUUCAAUUAAAUGCAAUUUUGAAGUUAGGUGUACACGAGUAUGAUACUAUCAUGUAUAUCUCAAUCUGACUUAUCUCAAUACAUCAUGUACAUUUCAAUUCACCACCAUUAACAUACAACUUCAUCAAUUCAGUCAAGCACUACCCCACCCCCUCCAUUGUUUUGAGAGCACAAAAAGUAUAUAAAACUAACAACUUUGCGCAUCAGUAAGCUGACAGGAAACCUACCAAAAUCAAAUCUGAUCAGUCCAAUCAAUUCUGACAAGUAUAGUUAGUUCCUUAUCAUGUAGAGCUAUCAUGUUGCAUUGCAUAAGGUUCAUUGUCAUAAUUUUCAGAGCUAAAAGCUGAUCAUGAAUCAGCCUCCUUCCAAGAAACAAACAAAUCAGAAUCAGCUCAAUAUUAGGCAUAGGUUUUCAACAAAAGUACUUCUAAAAUUAAAGCUGAGCCAAAGCACUGUUAUCCUACAGUUUCAGUGUACACAGUUGUAUAUGGCUUCAGAAAAAGAAAAAAAAGUCUAGAAGCUAAAACAUGUGCCUUGAUCAUUCAACGAAUUAUGCGCAUAGCCACCUAACUGGUUAAUCAUGUUCCAUGUGAAAUGGGAUCAUCCUUCUGACAGUAUUACAAUUAGCUUCCAACCAAUUCAGAGAAAACAUACGAAGAGGUGAAAGAAAAUAUUACAUCCUUCGGCGUUAAAAAAUACUGAGGUUACUUGAACUGUACUGACCGCUUAGCAACACUUUUCAUCCUUAAGACUUACUAAUAAUUUGAGUUUUCAUUUCCUGUUUUUUCUUCCAUUCAAUAUGCUGUAGACUUGAAGCCAUAUAUGUGAUGCACUUAUGAAUUUGCAGCCAAGUUAAUUUACUUAAUAGUAUCAUUUGUGGCAUUACUUCACAUCCACAAAUUCACCCUAAUACUGAUUAUUGACUCAUUCUUCUAUGCUGAAAUACACCAAGAGGAGACAAUAACUUAUUCACGUUUUCGACUUCUAAAAUGGAGUUGAUGCAUAAUACAGGAAAGAAGGGGUGGGAAUUAAACUGUGUAGGGGUUCAAAUUAAGUCCUUAAGUCAUCAUGCAAAUCACAGGUGGAUUAGGAUUCAACAUAAAGAUCCUUACUUGGCACCCCUCCCCACCAUAGUUUGCUAAUAUUUUCUACUUAAUAGACAUGUAUUCAGAACUUAAUGAUAAUUUGUCCAAAUUAAUUUCACAUAUAUUCUGGUGUUCAACUUUACUAGAUACAUGCUUUGUACUCAUCUUCUACAACAAACAAACAGAACUUCCUCAUGCUAAUAAUCUUGUAAGUAGCAAAACAUUGUUCAGAAUAAAAAAAUGCAUAUAGAAGUGCAUGCCAUUAUAUAGAUCAGUCACUUAAGCAAACUCGAUUUUUGCUGUUUUAAAGUGGAUUGUGCAGCAAUACCUUGUUUUAUCAAGUAACACCUGAGUAUAUCACUUCAACAAUUACCAAAUCUAUAGAUUUUCUCAUCAAGGAGCAUCAGAAAGAGAAGCACAGCCACAAACACACCACAGCAGCACAUACGGUAGGUCGGUUUCUCAUCAAGGAGCAUCAGAAAGAGAAGCACAGCCACAAACACACCACAGCAGCACAUACGGUAGGUCGGUAGCAGCUCAACAUCAUACGGUAGACCACAGGGUAACAACAACUACUUAAUAUGGUUUGAUACUAAUGGGAAUAAGGAAAAAAGGUUUAGUAAAGAAAGAAAAUGGUCAAUGAAAGGUGAAAUUGAAGAUUUCCACAGGCAUAAGGCAAUAAAUAUGCAAAAAUCACAAGAAAGUACAAUCCUAAUGACCAUCCAUGGAUCAUUAUGGGACAUUUCAACAAAAAAUGCAAGCACACAUAGGUCACAUGGUUUAUGCAGUUAAAAUGAAAAAGAAAAGCAUCUACAUAAGCACUGUUUGCAGUUCUUGGGUAGGUAGCGCUUGUAUGGCAGUAAGGCAUAGAGAGUAGUACCA
rnacentral:lncRNA from 1 species